GGCUGGUCCAGGUGCAGUGGUGUUUACAGCUAAUUGAUCACAGCCAGUUACAGAUUUCUUUGUUCCUUCUCCACUCCCACUGCUUCACUUGACUAGUCUAAA
rnacentral:Y_RNA from 1 species